GACGAACGCUGGCGGCGUGCUUAACACAUGCAAGUCGAACGAUGAUCAGGAGCUUGCUCCUGUGAUUAGUGGCGAACGGGUGAGUAACACGUGAGUAACCUGCCCCUGACUCUGGGAUAAGCGUUGGAAACGACGUCUAAUACUGGAUAUGAUCACUGGCCGCAUGGUCUGGUGGUGGAAAGAUUUUUUGGUUGGGGAUGGACUCGCGGCCUAUCAGCUUGUUGGUGAGGUAAUGGCUCACCAAGGCGACGACGGGUAGCCGGCCUGAGAGGGUGACCGGCCACACUGGGACUGAGACACGGCCCAGACUCCUACGGGAGGCAGCAGUGGGGAAUAUUGCACAAUGGGCGAAAGCCUGAUGCAGCAACGCCGCGUGAGGGAUGACGGCCUUCGGGUUGUAAACCUCUUUUAGUAGGGAAGAAGCGAAAGUGAUGGUACCUGCAGAAAAAGCACCGGCUAACUACGUG
rnacentral:rRNA from 1 species